CGGACCCGCACAGCGGUGGAUCAUUGUUGUUUAAUUCGAUGAUACGCGAAGAACCUUACCAGGUCUUGACAUCCCCCCGCAAUGCUAUGGAGAACAUAGCGGAGGUAGUUCGGGGAGACAGGUGGUGCAUGGUUGUCGUCAGCUCGUGUCGUGAGAUGUUGGGUUAAGUCCCGCAACGAGCGCAACCUCGUGAUUAGUUGCUGCCUAGCAGAACUCUAAUCAGACUGCCGUAGUUAAUACGGAGGAAGGUGAGGAUGACGUCAAAUCAUCAUGUCCCUUAUGUCUUGGGCUACACACGUACUACAAUGACUACUACAAAGAGAAGCGAGACCGCGAGGUGGAGCAAAACUGUAAAAAGUAGUCCUAGUUCGGAUUGCAGGCUGAAACUCGCCUGCAUGAAGCUGGAAUUGCUAGUAAUCACAGGUCAGCAUACUGUGGUGAAUACGUUCCCGGGCCUU
rnacentral:rRNA from 1 species